UACGGAGGGGGCUAGCGUUGUUCGGAAUUACUGGGCGUAAAGCGCACGUAGGCGGCUUUGUAAGUUAGAGGUGAAAGCCCGGGGCUCAACCCCGGAACUGCCUUUAAGACUGCAUCGCUUGAAUCCAGGAGAGGUGAGUGGAAUUCCGAGUGUAGAGGUGAGAUUCGUAGAUAUUCGGAAGAACACCAGUGGCGAAGGCGGCUCACUGGCCUGGUAUUGACGCUGAGGUGCGAAAGCGUGGGGAGCAAACAGG
rnacentral:rRNA from 1 species